AGGCCUCCAUUCCUUUGAAGGAAUUGGAGCAGUUUAACUCAGAUAUACAAAAAUUGCUUGAACCACUGGAGGCUGAAAUUCAGCAGGGGGUGAAUCUGAAAGAGGAAGACUUCAAUAAAGAUAUGAGUGAAGACAAUGAGGGUACUGUAAAUGAAUUGUUGCAAAGAGGAGACAACUUACAACAAAGAAUCACAGAUGAGAGAAAGCGAGAGGAAAUAAAGAUAAAACAGCAGCUGUUACAGACAAAACAUAAUGCUCUCAAGGUAUUAGAGCUCAAA